UCCAAUUUUUUAGUGUUCUAGGUUCACUCUCAAAUUGGAUAGCUGUAAUUUAUGAAACUGAAGAUAUUGUUCGAUCAACUAAGGAUUAACUUGGUGACAUGAAAAGAAGAUCAGUAGGUGACUACUAAGAAAGCUUUGGGGAGAAUACAGAAGAUGUUAUGAAAACUAAGAGAUUAGUUUGCAAUUUUACGUUUAUUUCCUGCAGUUUAUUUUCUUUUGUUGCCUAUAAUGGUAGACUUUGUAAUUUGACUCAUAUUUCUCCAAUGGCAUCAUACACCUCAGUAGGAUAGUUUUGAUAUGUUAGUGAGUGUUUAUAUGUGAUUUAGCAGGUAGAAUAUAUUUAAGUAAUUGCUCAGCCCCUUUUUCAAAUUUUGUUUCAUUUUCUUAAUUGUGAUUUUUCUUUCUGUCGGUGGAAAUGAAAAGUUUUUUUGCAGAGUAAUGAUUACUUUGAUAAACACACGUCAUCAUAGCAUUUUAACAAUUGGAAGUUUUUUUCAAGCUGCAAAACUACAAAUGUUUAAUUAAUGCUAGAGGCGGAUAUAUCUUGCAAGUGAAGCGGACAAUGGUGAAGGCAAACAACUUAGUAUAAGGAUUCAACUCAUUUACAGUCAUUUGUCAACUUAAGUGAAGUUGAAUGUGUCAAAAACUGAAGUCAUUUCACUGUUAAAUGUGGAAUGUGGUUAAAUCUACAAAAAAGUGCUUUUGAAAAUGAAAAAGUUCUUUGAUCCAGAGAAAUGUUUUGAGGUAUUCAACCUGCCAUCAAACAAUUUGAAAGUGGACAUGCUACUAUUGUUGGAUGCAGUUGGACCAAGGGUCGGGGACAGCCUAAGUACGGAAUAGAAGAAGACAACAUCAGGAUGAAUUAAAACCGUCUGAAAGAAGAACAGUUAAUGAGAAUUAAGCAGGAAAUAAGGAGAACACAAAUAAGCAGAAGAAUAAGAGAGUUGAAAAUUGAAAUAGACACAUAGCUUACCUCACUAUCAUAAAACACAUUCUUGGCUCUUGAUGCUGUCUGAAUUGCGACCUUCUGGAACAGUAUAGAAUGAGUAAAGCCACAAAGAAAGAUGUAUCAAGCCUAGCUUCAAGGGGAGAAUGAUGGUAGAGAACUAUUGAAUUAGUACCGAGUAUUUAUAGAGGAAAUCUGAGAAGAUUUAAAUCAGCCGUGCUUGUGUGCUUGCAAAUCAAUUAUGAGUGUACAUGGGAAGAAGAAACGCUACAUUGGAAAAGCUGAAAAUAAAUUUGAAUUGCAGAUGAACUGUGCGAUGUUCUAUUUCGUAAUUGUAUGUAUGUAUUUGUAUAUAUUAGUUGUUAAUUGAUUGAUUUAAA